rnacentral:rRNA from 1 species
AGUUUGAUCCUGGCUCAGGAUGAACGCCCUUUGUGUGCCUAAUACAUGCAAGUCGUACGCACUGGCCCAACUGAUUGAUGGUGCUUGCACCUGAUUGACGUUGGAUCACCAGUGAGUGGCGGACGGGUGAGUAACACGUAGGUAACCUGCCCCGGAGCGGGGGAUAACAUUUGGAAUCAGAUGCUAAUACCGCAUAACAACAAAAGCCACAUGGCUUUUGUUUGAAAGAUGGCUUUGGCUAUCACUCUGGGAUGGACCUGCGGUGCAUUAGCUAGUUGGUAAGGUAACGGCUUACCAAGGCGAUGAUGCAUAGCCGAGUUGAGAGACUGAUCGGCCACAAUGGAACUGAGACACGGUCCAUACUCCUACGGGAGGCAACAGUAGGGAAUCUUCCACAAUGGGCGCAAGCCUGAUGGAGCAACACCGCGUGAGUGAAGAAGGGUUUCGGCUCGUAAAGCUCUGUUGUUGGAGAAGAACGUGCGUGAGAGUAACUGUUCACGCAGUGACGGUAUCCAACCAGAAAGUCACGGCUAACUACGUGCCAGCAGCCGCGGUAAUACGUAGGUGGCAAGCGUUAUCCGGAUUUAUUGGGCGUAAAGCGAGCGCAGGCGGUUGCUUAGGUCUGAUGUGAAAGCCUUCGGCUUAACCGAAGAAGUGCAUCGGAAACCGGGCGACUUGAGUGCAGAAGAGGACAGUGGAACUCCAUGUGUAGCGGUGGAAUGCGUAGAUAUAUGGAAGAACACCAGUGGCGAAGGCGGCUGUCUGGUCUGCAACUGACGCUGAGGCUCGAAAGCAUGGGUAGCGAACAGGAUUAGAUACCCUGGUAGUCCAUGCCGUAAACGAUGA